rnacentral:lncRNA from 1 species
CUUAUUGAUUUUCUUUGCUACCACCCUCCAUACUCUCAGGAAACUGCAUUCUGAUUCUUAACAUUAUAAAUUGUUUUAGUCUGCUGUUGGAUAAACAGAAUCAUAAGUGAAUUUCUGCCUCUUGUUUAACAAUGUUUUUCAAAGUGAUCUUUGGUAUCUAUACACUUUUUUUAAGUUCAUGCUUUUAUUUUUGAAUUUUUCUUUGGAUUCUAACAUUUGUUCUUCUCACUCAUCAUCACAUCUCAGUGCUGGCCCUGUGCUAUGAGUGACAUGCCAGUGGGGAGUGUGACUGCCAUGAUUAAUAUGCUUAACCCUGAAGAGCUGCACCUGUAGUUGAUAUGAGUGAAUCUUUAUUGAAAUAUAAUUUUUCUACAAUAAAAUUGUCUAACUUUAAUCAUACAGUCUCUUCUCAAUAUCAACCAGCCCUGACUACAGUCAACCAGCGUGUUGUUCUUGUCUUUCCUUUCUUUGGGAACACCGUGUCUGCCAGAAUGGAAGGACUGAUUUCCUAGAUUGCCAAAGAAUCGACACUUCAGGGAUAGCGAUCAUGUUCCAGCAAGAAGGCCAACUAAGUUAUGCUGUUACACAAACCUGAAUAUGCUGAGUAAAUUGUACUUUUAAAAAACACGUGACAAGGAAUUCCAAAACCAGCAGGAGAGAGAAGAGACUCUCCAGUUGCCAAAAACUAGAGAAAGCAUAAAGCAAAAUAGUAAGUAUGUGACCUGCCCUAUACCUAGAACUUAUGUUGU